rnacentral:rRNA from 1 species
CCUACGGGUGGCUGCAGUGAGGAAUAUUGGACAAUGGGCGCAAGCCUGAUCCAGCCACGCAGCGUGAAGGAUGACUGCCCUCGGGGUUGUAAACUUCUUUUAUAAAGGAAUAAAGUGAGGCACGUGUACCUUUUUGUAUGUACUUUAUGAAUAAGGAUCGGCUAACUCCGUGCCAGCCGCCGCGGUAAUACGGAGGAUCCGAGCGUUAUACGGAUUUAUUUGGUUUAAAGGGAGCGUAGAUGGGUUGUUAAGUCAGUUGUGAAAGUUUGGGGCUCAACCGUAAAAUUGCAUUGGAUACUGGCAGUCUUGAGUACAGUAGAGGUAGGCGGAAUUCGAGGUGUAGCGGUGAAAUGCGUAGAUAUCACGAAGAACACCGAUGGCGAAGGCAGCUUACUAAACUGCCACUGACGUUGAGGCUCGAAAGUGUGGGGAGCAAACAGGAUUAGAUACCCCUGUAGUC